GGGAAUGGAUCCGGUUCUAAUCCGAGUACAAAACGUACUCGUCUGCAAACUUCCAAUCAAGAAUGCCAAAAUUCUGUAGCAGAUGGACUGAAUUCUAGUAGUACUGUUGUCACCACAGAACGAACUACUACUGGGAUUAGAGUUAGUGCACGUCUUCAGCAACAAAGUGUUAAUGAUCAGCCAG